rnacentral:rRNA from 1 species
GACGAACCGAGCGAACGUUGUUCGGAAUCACUGGGCUUAAAGGGCGCGUAGGCGGGUGGGAAAGUCUGCGGUGAAAUCCUCCAGCUUAACUGGAGAAGUGCCGUGGAUACUGCUCAUCUUGAGGUAGGUAGGGGCAUCUGGAACACUGGGUGGAGCGGUGAAAUGCGUUGAUAUCCAGUGGAACUCCGGUGGCGAAGGCGAGGUGCUGGACCCUUUCUGACGCUGAGGCGCGAAAGCCAGGGGAGCAAACAGG